rnacentral:rRNA from 1 species
UACGUAGGGACCAAGCGUUGUUCGGAUUUACUGGGCGUAAAGGGCGCGUAGGCGGCAAUUCAAGUCAGCUGUGAAAUCUCCGAGCUUAACUCGGAACGGUCAGCUGAUACUGUUUUGCUAGAGUGCAGAAAGGGCAACCGGAAUUCUUGGUGUAGCGGUGAAAUGCGUAGAUAUCUGGAGGAACACCGGUGGCGAAGGCGGCAUCCUGGACCGAGAUUGACGCUGAGGCGCGAAAGCCAGGGGAGCAAACGGGG